CACAAGGAGGCAAUCUCACUUAUCGCCAGUGGAACGCAUAGACAGGAAGUGAUAAUAGAAAGAAACAGGAAGUGAUGUAACAUGCAGACAGGAAGUUCCAGGUGAGAGGUAAAUAGAGAAAAGACAAAGCUGGAACUGACAGCAGAAAAGAGAAGAGAGUCCUGUAUAGAUCUCAUGACCACCUAAAUGGAUCACAUGACCCCAUCAGUAAGUAUGGACAAGAGCCAAAGUCACAUGACUGAGAGGAUAUUAGACCUCACCCUUGAGAUCAUCUGCCUACUGACUGGAGAGGUGAGGAGGAUUCUGGGAGGGUCUCUUGGCAUUACUCUGGCCUCUGUAACUAAACCCCAGACUGGAUCUGAGAGUUGGGGAGGAUUCUGAUAAAACUGUAGAGGUUUUUUUUUGUUUUUGUUUUUUCCUUUCUUAGGAUUAUAAAGUAGUGAAGAAAAUUUCUGGUGAGCCAUUAACACCCAGCAGCUGUCUUCAGAAGAUGUCACCAAUCACGUUGCCUCCACCCCACUGCCUGACAACCGAGGUAACCGGUGCUAAGAAAAUUCUAAAAGUCAUCAACAAGAUGAUGGAGCUGCUGACAGGAGAGGUUCCUAUAAGGUGUCAGGAUGUCACUGUCUAUUUCUCCAUG